rnacentral:lncRNA from 1 species
CAGCAGAGCUUUUCAGAUCUUCAGUUCUCAUCAGACUGAAUUUGAGCAGGAACCAACUCUCAGAUAAGAUACCUGCAGAAAUUGGAAAGCUUUCACGGCUACAAUAUUUGGAUUUGUCAGAGAACAAUCUAGAUGGACCUAUACCAGAUAAACUUGGGGACUGUGAGACACUUAUAUUUCUGAAGCUGAGUAAAAACAGAUUAAAUGGGACUAUGCCAGAGCAGCUUGGGAAUCUAAUAGCACUGCAGUCUGUCUUAGACCUCAGUCAAAAUACUAUCACAGGAGAAAUAUCCCCCCAGCUUGGGAAACUGAUAAAACUGGAAGUACUGAACCUUUCACACAACCAGCUUUCAGGUCCAAUACCUUCCACCCUUGAAGAUCUUGUAAGCCUUCAGGAUGUUGAUGUAUCAUAUAACAAUCUUGAAGGUCCGCUCCCAAACACAAGGGCCUUUCUGCAAGCUUCUGUUGAAGAAGUGGCCGGUAAUCCUGGCCUAUGUGGUGAAAAGGCAAAAGGUUUGACCCCUUGCAGCAGAGACACUUCAUCUAAGAAGCAAAACAGAAAUAACAAAAGGAAAUUGGUGAUUGCCAUUGUCAUUCCAGUAGCUGCUUCAACAAUUCUGUUAAUUCUUUUUGGAAUGUUCCUUUUCCACCGUUAUUCAAGAGCUUGUGAAGAUAAAAAGGACAAAUAUUUAGGAAGAAAAAGCUCAUUUUCUGUAUGGAACUACACAAAGAGAAUAGAUUUUAAGGAUAUAGUCACUGCAACAGAUAACUUUGACUAUAAAUUUUGCAUUGGAAGGGGUGGACAGGGGAGCGUCUACAAAGCAAAGCUUCUGACAGGUGACAUCUUCGCCAUAAAGCGUCUUCAUACUCCUGACGAAAAUGAGCUAUCCGAGGAAUAUCAGAUGAAGAGUUUCGAAUCUGAAAUGCAUGCUCUAACAGAACUUCAGCAUCGGAAUAUUGUAAAAAUGUACGGAAUCAGUUACUUUGAUGGGGACCUUUUUUUUGUAUAUGAAUUCAUAGAGAGAGGCAGCUUGGCAAAGUCAUUGCUGGAUGACAAGGAAGCAGAGAUUUUGAGCUGGGAUAUAAGGUUAAAGAUCGUCAGAGGAGUUGCAAAUGCACUAUCCUACCUGCACCACGACUCUACACCCACUAUUGUGCACAGAGACAUAUCAAGGAAUAACAUUUUACUGGACAUGGAUUUUGAGCCUAAGAUUUCUGAUUUCGGAACAGCGAGGCUGCUAAAAGCAGGAGAGUAUAACACCACUGCUAUAGUUGGUUCAUAUGGUUAUAUUGCACCAGGUAAUUCCCAAACCACACCAUUAAACUAUGCACUAGUGAGCAUCGUUUUCCUACUAACAUGUGAUGUAAUAUGAACAGCACUUCCAACCUCACCAAUCCUGGUUCAUAGCUCAUCAACCAAAGUGGCAUUUUUUAGUCUUUCUUGUUAAAGUUUAGUCCUGAAAGAAAGCAUACGUGUUAAACCCCAAAAGAAAAAUAUAGCUAAUUAAACCCUAAAAGAAAAAUAUAGCUAAGUAUCCCAAAAAUAAUUUCAUGACAUGACCAGAUAAAUCAUUAGCAAAAAGAACAAAAAUCUAAUGCCUUGAUGCUUUGCUAAUUAACUUCUUCACAUAUUAUUUAUGUGUUGCAGAACUAGCUUCUUCAACGAAGGUGACAGAGAAAUGCGAUGUAUAUAGUUUUGGCGUUGUUGCAUUAGAAGUGCUAAUGGGGAAGCACCCCCAGGAACUCCUCCUAUCUCUGCAAUCUGGAGAGUAUAAUCUGCUGCUUGCCAAUAUUUUUGAUAAGAGGCUCACACCUCCAAGUGGUCACAUUAUGCAAGAUCUGGUUUUAGCAGCUACACUAGCCUUGAUAUGCAUAAGUGAAAAUCCCAUGUCAAGACCCACGAUGCGUCAAGUAUCCAGCGAACUGCUUACAGGAGCACGUCUUCCUCUCUCCAUACCUUUGCACUUGCUCACACUGCAGAACUUGAUGGAUAUGUUUUCUCAUAUUGGAUCCCAACAAGCAACAAGUCCCUAGCAAAGUUCCAGCAGGCAAAAUCUCUCCCUCUCUCUGCACCUUUCCACAAGCUCAUAUUGCGGAAGUUUCUGUCUAAAGUUUUCCAAAAUAUACUUGUCAAACAAGUUGUCUUAAAUGUACUUCUUAAUCUAGCUAAUCAUCUACUUUCAUCUAGUUAUCAGAUUCAACAUACUUUGAUUCUAUAUCCUUCUUCAUCUCCUAGGGAAUCACAAAUAUAUAAUUUCUUCCACAAGCAAAGCAAUGGGUAAAUGAUUAGAUAGAAAAUCACCUGAUUAUGCAACAGCAUCACAACAUUGAAACACACACUCUCGGUGCUUCAAAAACUGGAAAGAAGAAUAAGAAGCUCUCGUUCUGACUUGGGCCAGACAUAACAGGAUAUGAACCCUUCGAUAACCCAUAAACUUGCUGAGAACCUGAAAGAACGCACAUACGCAAAUUAAACUAACACAAAAUUACUAAAAGCAACAAUAAACUCACGUUUUUGAAUAAGAGUAGGGAAAGAUUUAGAUUGUAUUUCUAUUUUCCAUUAAAGAUAUUAUUUAGUUUUGAUUUUGUUUUGAAGGUAAGAAAGAAUUUAUAAACCUUUGAACUUCUGAUUUUAUUUUUGAUUUUAUGUGAUUGAUUGAAUGAUUUUACGGGUAUUAUAUUAAUAAAAUUGUGAAAGCAUGAUCAUGUAUUGAUUUAUGUUAUUAUUGAGUGGAAGUAGUGCUAUUAUGUUAUCACAAAAACCGUAAAUAGUGCAAAUUAAAUAUCAUAUGACUGAUGUUUCAAUUGAGUUUUAUAUAUAAACUUUAUAGAUUAUUAAAUUAGAUAUCUUUAUCUUUCUAUCUAUAUGUUUAUUAUUCAAAAACUCGUUGUAUAUUAAUUGUUUUGAUUUUUCGAAAUUGGAACACUAGUGUUGGAAAAUUUUAAUUUUCAGCAACAAUUCUUAUUUUUAUAAUUUAUUUCAUAAUCCAAUGGGUUCUGAAAAUUCUGAGAAUUUUUAUUACUGUACACAUAGAUGUCUAGUUUCAUUUUACCAAAGCAAACACGUCCACUUCUGACUUCUCAAACAUUGUGAAGUGGAAGACACUGAUGUUAUCUUACUUUUGGGGUGCUGUCAUGUCUUUUACAUGAUUCUCUUUAUUCAGCCUUAUGCUUUUUUUUCUUAGAUGUUUCUCCUAAAUGUUUUCAAGUUUUUAAUUGAAGAGAUUGAUUAGUAUAUAUAGGUUAUAUAAAUCCUUGCGUUCUUAUGACUGAGUGAAAAAUAUGCCAUUGGCAGUGAAAGAUCUACUCAAUAUUAUGUACACCUGAAAGAUAUAAGGGAAAUUUACAGUAAUAACUAAAAAAAUUUUCCUUUUUUUCAUCUUAACCCUCUAAAAAUAUUUCUAUCAACAUUAGCCAUAAAACAAUAUUUGAGACCAAAAUACCCCUCCCUCAUCUCUCCCCCAACUCUCCCAAACCGAUCCAACUCCCAUCAUCGGCGGCGACAUCAACCCUCGUCGGCGGCGGCUCCAUCUCUCACCGGCAUCCGAUCUACGAUCUACAACCUUCAACAAAAUCUAGGUUAGUCGUUUUUCUUAUUUUCAUUAAUUUAAAAUGAGAUUUUAGAAUAAUAAUAGUUAUAGCUUGAGAUUAAUAGUGGUGGUGAUGAUGUUUGUGGUGGUUGGUGGUGUUUGGGAGUAUUGUUUUCGAUUUUGGAGUGAUUGUGCUUAAUUUUGCGGGUGGGGAGGGAAGGGGGCAGGGCGCGCGCGCACCCAUGCGCGGCCUGCUGUCGCACCAAAUCUGGUGCGACAGGCGCGCGCCUGUCGCACCACAGCUUGUGCGACAGCGCCCCUGUCGCACCAAUUUUUUAGUGCGAGAGGCUUGCCCGUCGCACCAAAAAUUAGAUUUUUUUUUUUGUAACGAGUUAAUUUUUUUUUCUGUAAAUGUAAUGUAAUAAUUUUAUAAAUAUUACAGAUACAUGGUGAAAUCAGAAUCACCGGAUAUUGAAGUAGGCAAGAUGUAUUUUUGUUAUGCUGAUCAUUUUCCUGGCCGAAUUUCGAGCAUGUGUAUGUUAUAUUCGGUCAUUAAAGCCAUCGAGGAAAAAUUAACAAACCGGCAGUUGCGUAUGUUCAAAAAGGAUAUAUUUGGGCAUUUCUUGGAGUGUCGAAGUUUUCCAUUUAGUGGGGUAAUUUUGCACAAUCUUCUACUGCGGCAAGUGGCCCAUGAAGAAGAUAGCCGUGAGGAUUAGUUAUGGUUUCAAAUUGGUAAGCAUUUGAUUCGCUUGUCAAUUGUCGAAUGGUGCUUGGUUACUGGACUUUCAUUUGGUGUUGAUACCAAUAAAAAAAAUGAUGAAAUGGAGCAGAGGCUACGGAACACGUAUUUUGGUGGUGUGCAUCGUAAGAUUAAUGUGAAGCAAUUCGAUGCAGUAUUUAAGGAGUUGAAAUUCGAGGAAAUGGACGAUAUGGACGCAUUAAAGAUUGCGCUGUUUUAUUUUGCGGACAGAGUACUAAAUGCAAGAAAAAAUCACUGUCAAAUUAAUUUCGAUUGGCUUGACUAAGUUGAUGAUAUACAGUACUUCCGAAAGCGUCCAUGGGGUCUAUUGUCGUGGGAAAUGAUUUACGAGAGUCUUGACAAUGCACUGUUCGAGAAAGACGAGAAAUUUAAGAAGACUCGGUUGAAAAAUCUAGAUCAUAAUAUUGAAAAAUACAAUCUUUACGGCUUUAUGUCUGGGGUUCAGGUGCUAUUUUUUUUUGUUUAUUAAUAAGUUUUAUAGUAUUAAAUAUUUGAUAGUUGUUUUAUUUGAUUUUUCACUUUGGUUAUUGUAGGCUUGGAUUUACGAAGCAAUCAGAGGGUUGCCAUCAACAUGGGUCGUCAAAACGAAGAAUAAGAUUCCCCGCAUUCUGCAAUGGAAGCCCAUGGCGUCGUCGAGAAUCAACUUUGCGGAGGUUUAUUCGUUCUUCAACGACGAAUCUCGUCUUGUAAGUAAUAUAUAUUACUUAUUUUUUUAACUUUACUAAAUUUAAGUUAUGUAUACUUACUUAAAAUUUUAAAUUGAAUUUAUGGAAGGGGGACGUUUUACAAACUCUUAAGCCAAAUUCAAAGGAGAGUAGUAGAAAUUAUUAGCUCUCUGUGAAGGAUUACUUGCCAAGCAUUCCAGACUGGGUUCAUAAGGUCGGUAUACUCUAAGCACUAAAAAUUUGUUAAUCGAAAUUUUUGACUUUUCAUUUACUAAUUUUAAAUGAUACUUUAUACAGCAUCAACCCUCAAUCAACGCGAUGCCGUCGGUUACAAGGCAAUCAGACGAGCAUGACGAUCAUGACGACAUACUAAACCCAAUACCAGAGCAGCGUCAUGACACUUUUGAAGAUGAGGUGGGGCAUGACACUUUUGAGAAUGAGGUGGCUGUUGAUGACCACCAGCAGCAAACAAACAACUCUGAUGACGCACGAGAUUCUGAGAUUAGAAAUAAUAUACGAUAUUUUUUUUUUAAAUUAUUAAUUUUUUAUUGUUAUUCUAAAGUUUUAUUUUUUUCUUUUGUCAUAGUCGAGGACAAAGCAGUUUAAUGAUUACGUACGACGACGGCUGGAUAAGAUUGAUCGUAACGUGUAUGAAAUAAAGUCAGAAUUAAAAGAUUUUAAAGAAACCGUUGUUGGCUUCAUCGAAACAUUUUCUAAACGUCCAAAUAAGGAUUCUCCCACUGCACGCUCGUAUGCGGUAAGCUAAUUUAAAUUUAAUAAUAAUGUUCGUUUAACUUUUAAUUUGAUAGUUAUUUAAUAUGUUCUUUUUGGCGAAUGUACAGGCCCCGGAUGACGUUGGAGUGUAUACUGACGUGGGCAAUGAAAAUUUGUCUACGCCCACGUCAUUGUAUAGUUUCUACGGGGAUGUAAGUGGGGAGAGCGUGCAGGUGUUCACAAAGGUGCCUCCGGGCGUUAGUAAGUUCGGCCGCGCGUACAUACCGUCGUAUGUUUAUAACAGUCCUUACAUGAUUCCUCCGGUUAGGCGAGGACAGAACGUCCGGCCUUUACCUCGACCCCAAAUCAUGGAGCAUGCGAUUGACAUGAGUACGAGUGUGGAUGUAAAUCCACUGAGAGAAUUGGAGGACUCUAGUCUGUUUGCUGAGUUUGAUCGAUGGUUCACUGGUGAUAGCAGAGUCCGCCGGAGAGUCCAGCACCCGCGGUCAUUCUUUCAAAUAAUUUUGGGGACAGCUUCGAUGGGAUGGCUAGGCGAUGAGGUAUUUAUAAUUUUCUUGUGGUGUAUACUGUUGUGGAUUUGUGUAUAAUUUGUUUUUAAAAAACUCGUAAUAUUUCUGUUUCUCUACAGCAUAUUCACGAGUAUCUCCGCUUGAUUAGCGAGAAACAACGGCAGUAUCCAAAUGCCUUACUCCAACGUGUCACACAUACUGACACAUUUUUUUGGGUAACGUGCCGACAAAACUUAUAAAUUUUAUUAAAUUAUAAAAAUUUAAGUUUUAUUAAUUUAUGCAUUUCUUGGUUAUCUAUGUAUUAGGUGUUCUUGAAUCAGUUAUGGAAUAACGAGAAUUGUGCAGUCGAUUCAAUGGUAUUCGACGACCGCUUGAAUAGUUAUCUUUGUGGCCGACAGCACACAAUGUCUAAAUCAAUGACGGAUGUCGAUAUGGUAUGUACUUUAUUACAUUUCACAUGCUAUAUAAUGAAAAUAUUCAAGUUGUUGAUUUUUCUUUGUUGUAUUUUAAUUUCAUACAUGACGAAUAUGUUUUUCAAUUGUUAUAUGCAGUUACUCAUCCCUGUUAACUUGGACGGCGCGCAUUGGGUACUAGCACGAGUUGACUUUCGGAAAAACAAAGUCUGGAUUUAUGACUCAUUACUCACAAAUCGCGACGACAAAAGGUACAAGUUGAAAUUCAAGCCACUUGAAGUUAUAUUCCCUCGAUGGUUGGAAUAUGUUGGCUUCUACAAUAUCCGACCGGAGCUGCAGAGUGAAGACCCGUGGAAAGUUAUCGCAGUUAAGAGCGCGCCACAACAAGAGCCCGGAACUGGCGAUUGCGGUGUUUUUGUAUUGAUGGUUACGAUGUAUUUAAUGUUCGGGCUUAGAUUGGAGUUUAACGCUAGUCAUGUCGAGUACUUUAAAAAGAAGAUUGCGGUUGAUAUAUUUAAUGACGAUAUUAAAUUGUAAACCUAUGUAGUAAUUUAAAUGUUGGAAUUUGAAUUUUUUUUUACUUCGCGCACUUAAGUUUAUAUAAUUUUAAUGCCUCACAUUUUAAACUUUAAAUAAAGUUUUAUGAAAUAUAAGUGUACAAUACACAAAAAAUAGUAACAGUUUUAACCAACGAACACAAAAACAAUAAUAGUUUUAACAAACUCAUAACACACAAAAUACAACUAACUUCGAGUCGACGCAAUGGGAUUCUUACAUGACACCGACCGCAUCUUACAGUCCGCCGGUCAACGUCCUCGCCAGCCGAGGGUAUUCUGAGCUCUUUACGACGGCCAGGUGGUGGUGCCUCAACUGGUGGGUAUACUUGCAUCUCCUAAAUUUCAUCUGGAAUUUUCCAAUCAGCCACAUCACCAACUGGCUCUACUGGUUGUGCAUAAGCCAUCGCCAACGAUUCUGUAGUGUAAAAGUCCGAGCAAAGGUUAAUAAAAUCCACCCGGUGUGUUAGACACGCCGCAAUUGCAUGAGCACACACAAGCUGAUCAAGCUGGAACACUCUGCAGGAGCAAGUUCUCUUUUGCAAGUCAACCAACCCUUCCUUAAGCCCACCGCCUAUAACUUGAAAGCGAUGCGGAGACACCGGCCGAACUAUCAUUCUUUCAGCUAUAAUUCUCCUCUCAGUGACUAUUUCAUCCGCCCAUGUUGUUAGCCGAGUAGUCAUUGAUUCAGCCACAAUUUUCCUAUCAUAAAACCAUUGCUGCAAUGUUUUCCUAAAGUGAUCAACAAGAUGAGUCACAGGAAAUUUUCGAGGUUCCCUCAUGAAAGCAUUAACACUCUCCGCGAUGUUGGUGGAAAGAAUGCUGUACCUCCUACCUUCAAACUGAGACCUUGCCCAAUUACACGUACCGACAUUAUUUUCUAGGUAAUCAGCCGCACCCGAGUGGAUCAUCCACAACCCCUCAAGUUGUCUCUUAAAUUCCUCGUGGCCAUAUGCUUUUGCUGCAUUAAUAAAGGCAGGCUCAAAUUCAUCCCAAAGAGCUUUGGACAUUCUAAAUUGUGACUUAAUGUAACCUUUGACGUGGUAAAAACAAACGCCAUGAGUUGCAUUGUGAAAUACUUUAAGAACGGCUCUCCUUAUGGCAGUGCAUCGAUCAGAGAUAAUUACCAACUCAGGUCUAUCACCAAUCACUCCGUGUAACUUCAUCAUAAACCAUUCCCAAGCAUCAUUGUUUUCUGAAUCCAUGAUCCCAAUGGCUAACGGAUACAAUUGAUUUUUACCAUCAAGACAUGUUGCCAUGAACAUGCUUCCACAAUAUAGUCCCUUCAGAUGAGUAUCAUCUACAGCAAUGACAGGCCAAAUGUACUGCAUAAACCCCUUGAUGGAAGAUCCGAGUGCUACAAAAUAGUAUAAGAAAUUACCAUCUCUAUCUUGCUCGAGGUGAGUGACUGUACCCUCAUUCGCUGUAGUUAGUACGUGAGAGUAUUUAGGAAGCAUGUUGUAUGACUCUGUAGGGUUGCCGCGAACUAUUUCAAGACCAACUUCUCUCGCCCUAUAUGCCUGUUGGUAUGUUAACUGAACAUCGUAUUCCUGUUGCAUAUCUGCUCUUAUGUCAUUGGGAGUAUAAAUCCUCUUAUCUUGAAUAUAUUUUUCUGCAAUAAUAUGACCGACAACCCGGCUCCUUACUUGAUGACGUUCAUCAACCAAUACCUCAUUAUGACAAGUGUGUACAUUAUCAAUUCUCUUCACCACCCAAGGCACAUUUUGCUCGUUCGAACUGCUAGUUGCUCGAAUACGUCAUUUACAUGAUUCUGAACAAUAGUGAGCCUCGAAACGUGUCGUAGUAGACCGUGCAAUCUUGAAAUCAAACUUAUCUCUAAAGGCCACCUUGCGUAGUUGUAAUAUAAGCUCAUUCUUCUCAGCAAAUAGCUUACCCACGCUUAUAUCAUCUGAGUCACAACUGCUAACAAAGCUUGAAGCAACCAUGUUCGAAGGUAAAGUUGGAGCAAGACUUGUAAGGGGGUCAAUUCUCCUUCUCGAUCGAACCAUAGAAGGAAUAGGUCUAUUGCCUCUGUUAUUCACAGGAGUAUUAUCUUCACACUCAUCCUCAUGCUUGAACGACGGAACAUUCGAAGGACCGGCUCCUCCAUCAUCACCAUCAUUAUUGAAACGAGUGCCCCGCCUCGUAUUAUUAGAAGGUUAUGCACAAACAUUAUCCCCCUCUGUCUCAUAAUUAAAAUCAUCAUUGUCCCGAAAAUCAUUGUUGUGAUACGGAGAAUAUCGUUGCUCCAACGACGUUGUUAUUGGAAAUACCGUUGCUCCAACAUCCUGUAACGUAACGUCAUUAUCAUCAAUGUUGUCAUAAUUGUCGUGGAUUGAAGAGUAAUAUUGCUACAGCGAUAUUGUCCUCAGCAACACCUCUUCAUCAUUAUCGGGGCCAGACAUAUUUGCUCUAAACGAAGUUUCUGUAUCGACAUGUGGCUCAAUACCUUCGCUCGGAACUCGAGGUGAUGUGGUCACGAAUAUAGGAAUGCAUCCAACAUUAGCUACGUCAGAUGCCAUAUGCAACACAACCCUCACCAUUUCAUCAUCACAUAUAUCCAUGGGCAUUGCACAUAUACGAUAUAAUGUGUUACUAGACCUCAAAGUUGUCUUCAUUGUGAUAUUAUAAUCAUUAGGGUUUAUUUGUAACACCUCGUAUACUCUUGCCAAUAACUGAUCAAACAGAUAAUUUUUUCCAACCAAAAAAGCUCGAUUUUUACCAUUCACGUACUCCAUACGGUCAUUCUCUAAUGUCUCCCACCAACCAUCGUAACAUAAUUCAAGUACAACUGAAUCCAUUAAGCCUGAAAUUAUAAAAAAAAAAUUAUUGCAGUCAUAUUAAAAUAAUACAGUUUUAAUGAAUCUCCAGGGUGGGUGCGACAGGCAACCUGUCGCCCGAAUCUUGGUGCGAUAGGAUGCCUGUCGCUCCAAGGUUUGGUGCGACAGGGUGCCUGUCGCUCCAAGGUUUGGUGCGACAGGGUGCCUGUCGCACCGAGCAAGGUGUGGUGCGACAGGCGCCUGUCGCUCCAAGCAAGGUGCAACAGGCACCCUGUCGCACCGAGUUUUACUGCGACAUUAGCCCGUCGGCAGAUUCAGAUUGACCCGACUCAGUUAAGUAAGUUCAGAAAAUAAUUCAUACCGGUCGAUUUGUGUUGGAUCUGAAUAGAGUAUGAUCGAAUAUCACUUUUAUCGUUGUCUUUUGCGGUCGCUGUUGGCUGAUGAUUCAAGAGUGACAAGCUGCUUUUGGUUUGGCGACAUGGGAGAAACAAUGGUGGUUUUGUUCUGUAAAGAAGGGUAAUUUAGGAAGAAAGGCUUGUAUUUGGCUAAUGUUGAUAGAAAAAAGUUAACAGGAUUAUUUGCGAAAAUAAUAAAAUUUUAAUGGUUAUUUUCGUAAAUUUCCCAAGAAAGAUAUAAUACAAGAACCAUUUUCUGCAAUUUGAAGAACAAUGAAUCAUAUUGAGAUCAAGUCAAUUCAAUUUAUGGCUCCUCUCUUUCUAAGGCCUGAACUCCAAUUUAUUGAACAAGAUUAAGAGUGAAAGAUCUUUACAUUUUCCAGGUGCAAGCUUAAGCUCACCUAAAUUCAUGGUAUAUAUUAUAAUUAUCUUUAAAAAAUUCAAAAGGACUUUCAAGCCAUGUUUAGUAUGGAGGUGUAAAAGUUACAAUUACUGUAAAAAAAAUUAUAAUUAUGAAAUAAAAGUUAAUAAUAUGUCGUAAAUAUAAGUUUUAAAUAAUUAUUUUGACAAAAGUAGUAAAAAUAUAAUAGAUUUUUUUAUUAUAUAAGUAUAAAAUCAAAUCAACUAAGCUUUCAAAUUAUAAUAGUUAGUGUUUAUCAAACAUUUUAGCACUAUAACUUUUUAGUUACAAUUAUUCAACUUCAAUCUCAAAUGGAAUUGGGAUCUUAGAGCAUGUUUCAUUCAUAAAUCAUAACUAUCCUGUUGUAGCCACUUAAAAGGAAAUAACAAGAAAAUCAUGUUAAAUAAUAUCACUGUUGAUAUUUGAGGUUAAAGAAAUCCAAACUCUAGAUUUGCAUCCUCCUGGGGGAAAGACAAAAGUGUUAAUCUGAACAUUCAACUUAAUAUAAUAUUAUUUCUUUUUGCAUUUGGUCACAUCUGUUAGCCUAAAGGGUUAUACAUAAUGUAAUUUUGAUGAUAACAAACAUAUGUAUUAAGUGAUUUAAUAGAUAUUGUAUUUCACAUUUUCACUAGUUUUUUAAGGGUAAUAUUUAUGCAAGUGAAUCAAGUGAAAUCAAGCUCAAGACACUCAACGAACAACCGUGAAGUCAAGAAUAAAGUUUAGAGCUCAAACGGACAAAUUAGUGCGAUAAAUUAUUGUAAAGCCGGUAUGAUUUAAUUGAUGCAUGAUUUAGCAUUUGAGAAGCUUAAGAGAUUAAUUUAAUUAAAUACUUUUCAUAAACUAAAAGGUUUUGUUUUUAUAAAGUAAAGUAUUUUGUGGAUUUGAGUAAUGUGGACUUAAAAUGCUAAGUUUUGAAAUCUUUGAUUUUAAUAAGUAUUAUUAUUAAAUUUCAGAGUUGGACGUUUUUAUAAACAUUUGAAAUGUUUUGGGCCAUACUAUAAUUUAUGAAUAUUUUGGAUUAAAGUGAAAGAAUUUGAGAACUUUGAAAAAUAUGGGUAUUAUGUUGAAAAAUAUCUUUUUGCGAAAUAAUAAUAUCUUUGGGGCUAUAUCAUAGUUUCAAAAAGUUUGGGAAAGACAACUAUUCUUAGGAAGUUCUGAAAAUGGACCUAUUUGCAAAGUUUUAUGACGUUUUGGGUCGUAGUAUAAUUAUAAAAAGUUUUGGGCCAAAAUUCAAAAAUAACGGUAAUAUCACUGUUCCUGAGCGGCUGGCCGGAUAAAUCAAGCGGCUAACCGUUUGGGCGCUAGAAUUUACCUAUAACGGCUACUUUGAGGGCUUUAACUAUAAAAACUCAACCCAAACUUCAUUUUAUGAACUAAUGCAAGUAAAUAUAAGAUCAUAUAACAUAUAUUGAGCUUCCAAAACGCAAAUCAUCAUAGAUUGAAUCAUUGUGGAGCUAUUAUUUGCAUAUCCACUCUUAAAGAGAGUUUUUGUUGUAAUUUUCAUUUAUUAUCAAAUUGUGAAUGUACAAGUGUGAGAAACACUUGGGGUGAAGAGAUUGGGGAUAUAAUCUCUUGUUGUAAAGGUCCAUUGACACAUUGGAAGUUAAUUGUAAAUAUUUGAAGCCUUGAGAGACUUGGAUAGUGAAAUCCUCAAGCCGGGUGAGCUUGGAGGCGUGGACGUAGGCGGGGAUAGCCGAACCACGUAAAAAUCCUUGUGUUUUUUUUUUAUCUUCCCUUACUCUUUUAAUAUUGUGCUUGAUUGAAUUUAUUAUUUUUUAUUUGAUUAAGGCAAUAGAUUAAAUUGUUGUGCGAAUUGUAUUGCAUAAAUUUUAAAAUCCUAAUUCACCCACCCUUUUGGGUUGCAUAACUUGCAUUUCAACAUCAACAUGAGAUGUUCCUUAAGUCCCACCAGUAGCAGCUUGGAAUAGUGUAUGGUUAGGAACCAUGUUGAGAAACUAAGUGGCUUUCCAUUUUUUUUUUAAUAUCCAGGAGCCAAAUACUCACAUUGAUUUAAAAUCAACUUCUAACUAGUAAAAAAAAGGAAAGAAAGAAAGAAAAGGUCACAACUAUAGGCAACUUCUUAGUGCUCACCAUGUUUUAAUUAUAUUGAAUAAUGAGAUUGACUUGGAAUCCUUUAUGGAAUGCCCAUGAGUAUUAAAAGGAACUAAGGAAAAACGCUUAUGUAGCACAUGUUAAAUACUUUUAAAAUUUCAUAGUUGAGUUUUCGACCAAGCAAAUAAUAAAUUUUCUGCUUAUGUACAUUGUUGGAUCUAUUGAGUCUUUUUCAAGUUGAUUCUAAUGAAUCUUGAUGAAUUAAGAACUAAGAAAUUCAAUUGAAUAAAGAAACCAAAACUAAAAUAAGAAUUCAGAACAAGAACAGAGGUACGAAUCACCAAGUUUUAAGGGAAAAAUUCAACCACUUUAUUGAUCAACAACUAAUCAAAUAUAGAUGGAUUUAUAGAAGACUUUGCAUAGAUCACAACAAAACAGAUUAUAUGCAAAUUGAUGAACAAAAGAAGAAGAAAGAGAUUGUACAUUAGGCAUUGCUCAUCGGCUUCUAUAUGUACUGAUGUUUCUGGAAAUUUUACAAUAGAUUAUAACUAAUUCGUGCCACAACUGAAGUCAAUCUGCACAAUGAUUUUAAACUUCUUUAUAUUUUCCAUCUGAGUCCACAAAUUCAGAUACAUAUAUCUCCACAUUCUCUACCUUGCAAUUGAUUCAGUUGAUCUUUUCAAUAAAGAAGCACCCAAAAAAAUCUUUAAUCAACUACAAUUCACUCCUAAAUUUAGUUACGUUUGCGCAAAAUGCCCAUUAGAUUCACAUAGAAUUCAAACUUUGCAGUGGGAAGCACUUUUAUAAGUGCAUCAGCUGGGUUCACACUUGUGUGGAUCUUAGACACAAUUAUUGUUCCCUUUCCAACCCCAUCUCUGAUAAACUGGAGUUUCACAUGUUCUUUCAUGAUACAUAUGAUUCUUUACCAGCUGUAUAGCACUUUGAUUAUCACAGUUAAUUUGAACUGUUUUUUAAUUUAACCACAAUUCAUUAAGCAGAUCUUUCAGUCAUAAGGGAACCACAGACGUAUACCCUGAAGUUGACUUCCUUCUGUCAAGAUCUCCAGCUUAUCAUGCACAUGUUCAGCAUAAACAUAUACCCUGAAGUUAACUUCCUUCUGUCAAAAUCUCCAGCAAAGUCAGAGUCUACAAAUACUACAACCUUAUUUGUAUCACAUUUAGUUUUGUCAUACAGCAAACCACAAUUAGAAGAGCCCUUGAGGUAUCUCAUUAUCCAUUUGACAACACUCUAAUGAGUCUUACUUAAACAAUUAAGGAAUCUGCUAACAACACUCACUGCAUAGGUUGUAUCAGGCCUAGUGCAUACCAUUGCAUACAUUAGAUUCCCCACAACCUAUGCAUAUGGGAAUUCAUUUAACUGAAACUCAAUCUCAGAUGACUGAGCUGCUAAUAAUUUGAACUAUGGACUAAGAAGAGUUAGAACAAGUUUGCAAUCUUGCAUAUCAAACAUUUCUAAAACUUUCUUGAUAUAUUUCUUUUAACUCGAGAACAAAGUGCCAACAGCUCUAUCCCUUAAAAUAUCCAUCCCAAUGAUCUCUUUUAUAUUACCAAGAUCUUUCAUUUCAAAUUCAGACUUCAACAAAUUCUUCAACCUCUUUAUCUCAGACUUGUGUUUACUUGCAAUUAGCAUAUCAUCCACAUAAAGAAGCAAAUAAGCAACUCCACUUUGAUUUGAGCCACCAAAAUAAAUACAGUUGUCAUAUUUGCUUAUGUGAUAGCCUUUUAAGAUCAUACACUUAUCAAAUCUUCUAUUCCAUUGCCUCGAGGAUUACCUAAAUCUAUACAAGGACUUACGCAGCAGACACACAUGAUCUUCCUUUAACUUGUACUUAAAACCUUGAGGUUGAACCAUCAAUAUCUAUUCUUUAAGAUUAGCAUGAAAUAAUGUUAUUUUUACAUCUAUUUGCUCAAGUUCCAAAUCAAGUAAGGCCACCAUAGUUAAUAAGAUUCUUAUGGAACUGUGUUUAACAACAAGAGAACAAAUUUCAUUAAAAUCUACACCUUCUCUUUGUGCAAACCCUCUAGCCACAAGCCUUGUUUUGAAUUUUAAAGGCUCAACCCCUGUAAUUCACUCAUUCUUCUUGAAUAUCCACUUACAACUAACUAACCUUUUAUCACCUGGAUUUGGUACAAGUGUCCAAGUAUGACUUCUUUGCAGGGACUCCAUUUCCUCUUGCAUUACCUCAAGCCACUUAUCACAAUUCAGACUUUCAAUAACUUUAAAGAAGUUUCCAAGUUCUUCAAUUGCCACAUCAUCAGCACACAACAAUGCAUAAGCGAUUAAAUCGGCAUAUUUAUCCCUCACUGGGGCUUUGGUUUGCCUUCUACCUUUGUCUCUAGUUAAUUGAUAAGUCUACAAGUCAACUUGUUGCAAAUCUAAUGCUUUAUUGUCCUCAACUUUGGCCAUAGUCUCAUCCUCACUACUAAAUAGCUUUUUUUCACUAUCUCUGUCUUCAAAUAGCUCCACUUUAAUCUUGGCAAUAUCAGAGAGUUUGUUAGUAAUCAGAUCAGCACACACAUAAGUAUCAUUUUCUGCAUUUUCUUUUAAUAAUGCAGAUUCAUGAAACACAACAUCUUUGCUGAUUAUACAUUUCCUUUACUCUCUACACCAUAUUAUGUACCUUUAAUCCUAUCAUAAUAUCUAAUAAAGACACCCUUCAAUGCUCUUGCAUCUAGCCUGACUUGAUUGAUAUAAAGAUAGGCAAGGUACUCAAAAAUUCUGAGAUUUUUAUAAUUUGCAGGCUUUCCUGACCAUAUUUUCUCUAGUGUUUUGAAGCCAAUAGCAAAUGAUGGGCUUCUGUUAAUUAAGUAACAUGUUGUAUUAACAGCCCCUGCUCAAAAGUUUCUAGGAAGCUUAGAAUUCACUAACAUAUAUCUUUUUUUAUCUACCAAUGUCUUGUUCAUCAUCUCAGCCAAACCAUUCUACUAAGGGGUGAACCUUACUAUUUUAUGCCUUCUUAUUCCAUGUUUUUGACAGUAUUCCUCAAACUCUUUACUACAAAACUCUAAGCCAUUAUCAUUUCUUAAGCAUUUAAGUUUAAGCCCAGACUGAUUCUCCACCAAAGCUUUCUACACCUUAAAUUUUUUCAAGGCUUGAUAUUUGGUCUUGAGUAUGUAGAUCCACACCUUCCUUGAGUAAUCAUCAAUCAAUGACAUAAAAUACAUUCCACCACUCAGAAAUGAGACUUGUACAGGCCCCUAAAGGUCAGCAUGUACAUAGUCCAAUGCUAGCUUUGACAUAUGUUGCGCCUUAUUAAACUUGGAUCUGUGAGCUUUGCCAUAAAGACAGUUUUCACAAAAGUCAAGCUGCUGAAUUUUAUCCCCACCAAGCAACCCUUAUUUACUGAGCUCUUGUAUUCCUUUGACACUCAUAUGACCAAGUCUAAGAUGCCAUAACUUGGUUCUAUCUUUUUUAGAAACAAUAGACAUUCCUUCCAUAACAGACAUUGAUAAACCUUACAACACGUACAUACUAUUCUCUUUAACCCCUUUUAUCACUGUCUCAAUCCCUUUAAUUAUCUUUAAGCCACCAUUUUCAGACUUAAAGAAGUAUCUUAAGCUGUCUAACAUGCCUUACCUCAUGUAGAGCUCUUAUAGUCUCAUCAAACAUCUUGAUUUUAAUAGAACCAAUACCAAUAAUUUUAUACACAUUGUUAUUUCCCAUCAAGACUCUACCACCAUCCACAGUCUCAUAUUUGUAAAAAAAAUUUCUAUCAAGACACAAGUGAAAAGAACAACUAGAGUCUAUAACCCACUGACCUUUUGUGUUGCCAUUUGAGGCUACAAGCAAAUCAGCACUGAGGUAUCCAUUAGAGGCAUCAUCGGAGGCUAAAACUGUAUCCCCUGAUCUUUCUUGACACUCUUUCGUUUUCUUUUUAAGGUAAUUCUUGAUAUGAUGUCCUUCUUUCCUGCAGUAAAAACAUUUCCUCUUCUUUUUCUUCUUAUCUGUAUUUUCUUGAUUUUUUCCAUGUCCUUUUCCCUAGUUUUUAUUCUUCUGCUCUUUAUUCUUUUCUAUUCUGGCAACCAGCACAUCACCAUUACUCAUUUCAUACCCAUUAUUCUUUUGAAUCUCUUUUGAACUCAAAGAUGCCAUAACAUCUUUAAGAGUCAAUGUUGUUCUGCCAAAUAACAUUGUAUUCACAAAGCCUUCAUAAGACUUUGGCAGAGAACUCAGCAAGAAAAUAACUUUAUCUUCAUCACUUAUUUUUACAUUUUCAAUCCCUUCAAGAUCAAGAAUGAUCUUGUUGAAGGUGUCAAUAUGAUCUUGCAUUAAAACUCCUUCUUUCAUUAAGAAGGUGUAUAGUCAUUUCAUCAAGAAAAGUCAGUGAGUCAGGGACUUCUUCAUACACAAAGCUUCCACGUUGUUCAAAAUUCCUAAGGUUGCAUUUUCCUCAAAAAUCUUUAUCAAGAUUGAGUCACUAAGACUCAAAAUUAGAGUGUUGUGAGCUAUGUGUUUCCUCUUUUCAUUGGACAUAGAACUUGAAGCAGCCUUUGGAUUUUCUUUUUCUAGAGCAAAUUCGAGGCCCUGAUGCACAAUGAGAGCCCUAAUUUUCAGUUUUCAAAGUGAAAAAUCACCACCAGUGGUGAAUUUCUCAAUUUCAGGCUUUGGAAGAGACAUGACUGAGAUUCAUCAAGCUUUAAUACCACUUGUUGAGUCCACUGAGUCAUUUUCAAAUUGAUUAUAAUGAAUCUUGAUGAAUUAAGCAUUAAAAAAUUCAAUUGAAUCAAGAAACCAGAACCAGAAUAAGAAUUGAGAACAAGAACAGAGGCACGAACCACCAAGUUUUGAAAGAAAAAUUCACUCACUAUAUUUAUCAACAACUAAUCAAAUACAGAUCACAACGAAACAGAUUUUAGACAAAUUAAUAAACAAAAGAAGAAGAAAGAGAUUGUACAUCGGCAUUGCUCAGCUUCUGUAUGUACUGAUGUUUCUACAAAUGUUAUAAUAGAUUAUAUACGCCACAUCAGCAGAAAUAUCUAUUAGGCCCCUUCAACUGAAGUCAAUCCGCAAACCGACUAUGAACUUCUUCAUAUUUUCCAUUUGAGUCCACAAACUCAGGUACAUAUAUCUCUAACUACGUGAAUGGCGGUAAUGCAUAACUUAAGUGAAAAGGUAAAGAUUUUAUACAUCGAGGGUACUAAAAACCAAUAUUCUUAUUGUACAGGCAUUAUGGAAACACAAAAUUUUACGAAACCCUACUUGUCCAAAAUCAUAAUCGUGUUCUGUUUCUAAAGGCUUGUGAGUUUGCUAAUGCUCAUUGUGUCAAGUGGCUCAACAGGUAAGCCUGGGUUUUUGCUGAUAAUUCUUGUGCCACAAAACGCAUACUAGGUCGUGUGUCUGGAGUGGUACUUGUGCAUGCUAAGGCUACGUUGAUCAUGAACGCCACUGCUUUUGAUAAUUGGCCUUUCGGAGGUGGAAGACGCUGGUCUAGCACAUCCUUGAGAAACAAUUCCAGAUUGUUUGACAAUGAUGAUUCUGAUAGGGAAGUUAUAAGUUCUCCUGGGUGCCUUCCCAUCAUAACCUCCAGUGCCACCACUCCAAAACUAUAAACAUCACAUUUAUCUGUGACCCGCAUUGUGACCGCCAGCUCUGCACAUUAAAGAAAUUUAGAAAUCCAAUCAAAUUAACAAAAUGUUUCAUCAAUAGGGGCACUCACUAGUUUCUAAAGAUUUGAAGCAACAAAAUCUCUCUAGAUAACAGCAUGAGACAACACCAUCACAUGAAGAAAACCUGUUAUCCAGGAGAUUGUUCUUGGACAUGUAUGCACAAAAUCAUACCCUUUUGUACAGGCGAUGUGUAUUUUAAGUAUAUCAAAUGAAUUAAGAUAAUGUUAACUUUGUCUAAUGAGAGCUAUUUAUUUUAUAUAAAGUGCUUUCAGAGACUAUAACGAAAAUGCAGAAAGGAAAUUGUUAGCUUACCAGGAGCCAUGUAGCCAUAGGACCCAGCAACUGACGUCCAGUUGGAGGAAUCUGGAUUCAACAGUCUUGCAGUGCCAAAAUCUGAGAGCCGUGGUACAAACUCUGACUCGAGCAAGAUGUUAUUCAAAGAUAUGUCCCGGUGCACAAUAGGUGGAGAGCAGUCGUGGUGCAAAUAAGCAACACCAUGAGCCACUCCUUGCACAAUCUUCAACCUUGCAGCCCAGUCCAACGCUUCUUCCCCUUCCAACCCGUACAAAACAUUUGCCAGACUACCUCUCUCAACAUAUUCAUAAACCAAGUACAUACACCCUCCCCUGGAACAAAAUCCAUUUAGCUUGAUAAUAUUUCUGUGCCUAAUAUCUGUCAACAUGCGUAUUUCAUUCUCAAAACUGUGGCGAUUCAUCAAGGGAAUAUCACUGGAGUCUGACAUAUGAAGCUUUUUUACUGCAACAACUUGACUUGUUGGUAGUACCGCCUUGUAAACGCUUCCAAAUCCUCCUCUACCAAUGCAGUACUUCUCGCUAAAAUCCUCUGUGGCCUUCGCAAUAUCCCCAAAAGUGAACUUUCCUUCUCUCGCCCUUAUCAAUGACUCAGAAGCAUUACUCUUUUUACUAUUUUUUGUCUCCUCACCAAGGAGUUUGAUUUUGCUACGAUAUAUGAAAACUACAGCAACAAUUGUUGCAAGAAGUAAUAGGCCACAUACAGGGACAAUGACACCAAUAAGAACCUUCCUUUUAUUGUUUGUGGAUUUACCAGAAGAUUGUGUAGGACUGCAAGGAUCUAACCCUGCUGCGUCUCCACACAAACCUGAGUUCCCGACAAAAGCUUCUGCAGAUGCGUUCCGAAAUACGCCGCCGCUUGGAAUUGGACCUGUUAACUCGUUAUCUGAGAAGUCCACUAAACGUAGACUAAUCAUGUUGGAGAAUGAUGCUGGAAUUCUCCCUGACAGCUGGUUACGCGACAAAUUGAGAAUCUCCAGUGAUCUAAGCUUUCCCAGAUCUUGAGGGAUUGUUCCAGAGAGUGAAUUGCUGCUGAGAUCCAACAUGUACUGCAAUACAAUCAAAUUACCUAGCUUCGAUGGUAUUUCCCCUGAUAAAUCAUUGUGGCUUAGGUUUAAGCUCAAUAAUUUAUCAAAGCUACCAAGCUCUUGAGGGACAUCUCCUGUCAAUUUGUUAUUUGACAAAUCCAGAUAUGCAAGCUCAGUUAAAUUGCUUAUACUCUUAGGGAUCUCUCCUGUUAAGUAGUUGUUGCUCAAAUUGAGACUGAACAACUUGACUAAUUUUCCUAGAUCAGUAGGAAUUUUCCCUGUGAGUUCAUUUGAGUCUAGGCUUAGAACGCCCAAGCGGGUCAAAUUCCCGAGCUCAGCAGGGAUGCCUCCAGAAAUCUUAUUUCUAUCUAACUGCAGAUUACUGAGAUUUCUGCAUUCUCCCCAGUCAGGUGAAAUUUCACCAAUAAAAUGAUUGCCGCUUAGUCUGAUGAAAUCAAGUCUUGGAUGAACUCCAAAUGCCUUUGUAAUAUUGCCAGUGAAUUGGUUCCCAUCAAAACGAACUCUGUUCAGAUUCGAACAAUUCCGCAUGCAAGCUGGUAAUGACCCUGUAAAAUUGUUGCCAUUCACCGCCAGUUCUUCAAGAGCGAAACCACUGCACAAUUCAUGUGGCAGUUCUCCAGAGAAGCUGUUGUUAGAAAAGCUAACAUUUAUCAAGGAAGGACUGAACUUUCCAAAAUCGCCAGGAAUGCUGCCAGAGAAGUUAUUAGUGAACACAGAGAAUUUGUUUAGGUUAACAAGGCGAGAAAUGUUCUCUGGCAACUCUCCGUGCAGUUGGUUUGUAUUGACAUCAAAAGCUACCAAUGAAGCCAUACUCCCAAUCUCCGGUGGAAUUGUACCACUGAGAUUAUUGAAGAAAAGCUGCAAGCUCAGAAGGUUCGUCAGAUUCCAUAAUGUUGGGGGAAUUGUACCCGAAAGCUGGUUUCCAGAAAGGUCUAAUUUUUCAAGACUAGUCAACUUUCCUAUCUCUGAAGGAAUAGGACCAGAGAAGUUGUUCCUAUACAGGAAAAGGUACUGGAGCUUUGUCAAUAGGCCAAUUUCUGGUGGAAUGUUCCCCAUGAAGGAAUUGUUUUGAAUUUGCAAUGACUCCAAUUCAGUCCAAUUACCAAUGAGAUUAGCCGAGAUCUCACCGGAGAGAAAAUUGUCAGACAAGCCCAAUUCAUUUAAUCUGGAUAGAUUUGACAGUGACAAAGGCAACCCCCCACUGAGUUGAUUCAUAGCUAAAGCCAAGAAUGAAAGGUUUGUACAGAGGCCAAGCUCAGGAGGUAUGGUGGAAUUUAAGGCGUUCAUUCGAAGAUCAAGAUGUUGAAGGUUUUUGAGUUGGCCUAAGGAAGACGGAAUCUGCCCUGUGAACGAAUUGUUAAACAAUUCAACCAGCUGAAUGUUAGACAUCAAACCUAUAUCCCCAGGAAUUGGACCGCUAAACUUGUUGGUUGCUAGACGAAGGACUAUGAGAUUGGAGAGCUUGGAAACAUUUGGUGACAAUUUUCCUUGGAAUUGAUUAUCGGUGAGGUUGAGGUAUUCAAGCUUGCCCAGAUUGGUGAACAGCCUCUCUGGUAUUAGGCCACUCAACUUGUUCAGUGACAAGUCGAGAUAAGUCAAGUUCCGGCAAGUUAAUAUGAAUGAAGGAAAUUCCAAGGUCAAUUCAUUGUAGCAAAGGCCAAGGUGUGUCAAUGAAGGCAUGUUUGAAAAUUUGGACCAGUCAGGAGUUUCUAAGAAGUUCCCACCAAGGUCUAAGUAGCGUACCUUUCGAAGAUUGCUAAGUUGAAAAGGAAAGGCACCAUUGAGACUGUUGUUAUACACACUGAGAUACUGAAGCUCCGACAAGUCUCCCAUCUCGGAAGGUAUGCUACCUUCGAAAAGGUUGUUGUUCAAGUCUAGGAAAGUCAGGUUGGAGAGGGUGCCAAUGGCAGGCGGUAUUGGUCCAGAGAUGUUGUUGUGGCUGAGGUCUAAGCUUGUGAGAGUUGCAAAUUCGGUGAAGUUGAAUGCUGUGAGAGUUGCAUUGAUGUCUGCACCGGAGAGGUUUAUUUCAGAAACUGCGCCGGGGGAAUCGCAAGCAAUGGAAGUCCAGUUGCAGAGGUUGUCGAGGUUGUUGCGUGACCAUGAAGAAAGAGGGGACGGGGACGGCGAAAAUCCGAAGCUGGUCUUCCAUCUGAUGAGAGCUUCUGCUUGAGUUCUGGGGGAAGAUGAAAUCUGCAGUGGAAACAAAACGAGCAGAAGAACGUGAAACAGAACAAGAGAAAGCUUUCUGGUUGGCGUCAUUUUAGUUAUUUGAGUUUCUAUCAUGCUACGUUGAUCGGGGUUGUUGUUACUCGUCUUAUAUAAAGCCCACGGAGAGAGGGAGGGAGAUACUUGUCAAAUAUGAGCUCCAAAGUCCCAAAAAGAAACAAAAAAAAAAAUUAAUAAACCGUGUCUUGCUUUCUACGUUUUAAUUAUUUAACUUACUGGGGGUGGGCAAAACUGAACAUUUAGUUCGGUUCCUUUUUUUUUGUUUCAGUUUGAAAUUUUUAAAUAAAAAAUCUGAUUUUAUAAAUACCCAAUCGUUCAGUUCGGUUCAGUUUCGAAUCAAAAGUUAUAAAAUCCUAACCGAAUCGAAAUUAAGGUAUUUUCGUAAUUUCACUCUAACAUAUAUAUACACAAAUCACACGAUUCACACGUUUGCAGUUUGCACCUCUCUCUCUCUCUUUCACUUUCAGUAUAGCUGCACAACACAGGCUAGGGGUGUUCAAAAUUCAAUCUGAUCUGCUCAAUCCGUAUGAUCCGUAGAAAUCUAAUUCGUAAUCCGCAAUCGGUGGAUUUGAUAUGGAUCACUUUUGUAAAUCUACAAAAAUCUGCAAAUCUGCAAAAAAAAAAAUAAAAAAAUAUUUAUUUAAUAAAAAAUAAAACUUGUAUAUGAAAUUUUACUUGCUAAUAAAUAAAUAAGUUAAAAUAUAGUUAUAUUAACACCGUAUUAUGUCUUUUUUGAUAAUAAUAUAAAAUAAAAAUAAUUAAAUAAAAAAUAUGGCUUCCUAAGUAGUUAAUUUUCAUGCACCAUCUAAACAAAUGAGAUUUUUUCCUUUUUGGUGUGUUAUAUUUUGAAACUUUAAAUGUAUUUUCUAUCUUUAUUUAAACAAUUAAUUUAUUUAAAUCUUAUUUGACUAGUAGUAAAAUUAUUUUUAUAUUAAUCUUUUUUUUAUUUAUUUAGUUCGUGGAUAGGACAUGACUAAAAUUUUUUUGCCCGCAAAUCAAUCCGUAAAAUAGUAGAUUGGAUAUUGAUUAGGUCAAAUCCGUAUCUGAUCCGCAGACGUAUGGAUUGGAUUUGGAUUGAAUUUCACCAAUCAAUAGAUUGGAUUGGAUUAAAAAUUUAUAAUCUGCAAAAUCAUGGAUCGGAUAUGGAUUGAUAUCUAAUCCGUAAAAUCCGAUCCGUGAACACCCCUAAGCACAGCCACGACCCAGCCCUAAUUCGCAUUUGCCUUUGCCCAUUAUGCCUUCUCCUUGCAGUCAUUUUUUCCUCCGUCACCAACUAUCCAGUCAGGUAACUCACUAACUUGCUAUAUUUCCUUUUUUUUUUUAAAUGGGUCUUUUUUUGUUUUGAGAUAACUCUUUGAUCUGUUCUUAUUUUAUGCUUGCUUAAAUUAUUAGUAGUAUUUAGUUUGAAAUGGGUCUGCCUUUGCUUAGAUAUGAGUCUGAUAUUGUAUUUUUUUCAAUUUUUUCGCUUGGAUACUAUGCUGCUGUCAGUGCUUGGUGAGGGUUGAGAAACGAAUUGUUGAAGCUUAUGGAGGGAUAAUAUCGUUUGGACCCCUUUUCUUUAUAAUAUUUUAGUAUGGCCUAAUAUUUAGGAAAUGUUUACAUAUGAGAAUUCUAUUAUGGUUUAAUUUGUUUGCAAAAAUUUCAGAAUGGUCCUUGACCAAAGGUCAAUAAGUAAAAUAUCAUUUGAGUCCGUAAUAUUUUGCCAAUUUCUACUAUUGUACAAAAAUUUAUUUUAUUUUAAGGAAAUUUACAACCGUCCACCUGUUUGUUUUGUCUUUUUCAAAAAUGCACAAACACUUUUUUUUUUCAGCGCGCCACCUGAAGUUUACUUUUUGUUGCAUUCUUCCACUUCCGUCUAAUUUCCGUUAGCAAAUUUAACGGAAUGACCUUUUUGCCCCUCAAAAUUACAAUUUAAUCCAAAAUAAAUAGAAAUUAGAGAUAAAUUGGAUGGAUUUAAUUUUUUUCGAAGGUGGAUGCUAGAAAUUGGAGGAAAAUAAUGUUUGUUUCUUGCUAAAUUUAGAAAAUUUGUAUUUAUUUUUUUGGAGGAAAAUAGUGUUUGUUACUUGUUAGAUUUAGAAAAUUUGUAUUUAUUUUUUCUCUUUCAAAAAAAUAAAUACAAAUUUUCUAAAUUUAGCAAGCAACAAACACUAUUUUCCUCCAAUUUCUAGCAUCCACCUUUGAAAAAAAUUAAAUCCAUCCAAUUUUUCUCCAAUUUCCAUUUAUUUUGGGUUAAAUUGUAAUUUUGAGGGGUAAAAAGGUCAUUUCGUUAACAUUCCGUUAAAUCCACUAACGGAAAUUAGACGGAAGUGGAAGAAUGCAACAAAAAGCAAACUUCAGGUGGCGCGUUGAAAAAAAAAUGUUUGUGUAUUUUUGAAAAAGGCAAAACAAACAGGUGGACGAGUGUAAAUUUCCCUUUAUUUUAUUUACAUUUUGGGCUAAAACUUUUAUAUUAAAAACAGUAACCAUAAUUCUGAAAAUUAUUCAUUUUAAUCCAAAUUUCUUGCCUUUUUUCCACAUACAAAUUUGUAAAUUAUUUUAUUUUUGUUUAUUAUAAAUUGAUUAUAGUAGACCUUGCGUGCAGGAUGGAAGAAAAUAACAAUGUUAUAGAGGAGAUUAUGAAGGACGAUUUUGAGGAGGGUGUUGAGAAUAAAAAAAACCAAACCGAAAACGAAACCAUUAAGAUGAAUCGAAAAACCAAUUGCUUAAAUAAAACCCUUAAGAGAACUGAAAUCGAUCCGAAACUAAAAACUGAUUCCAAACCGAAACCGACCUAUCAGUUUCGAUUCGGAACGGUUUUUUUAAAUUUUAGAUCCGAACCGAUCCAAAACCUAAAAUUUAUUUCGAAACCAAACUGACGCCCACCUCUAGUCUUACAACCUUACAACUUCCUUUCCAUCAAGUUGGUUCAAAUAACUAUUUUUACCUUGUGACCAAUAAUAAGCCUUCACCAAACUUUUUUAACACUUCAGUUGACUUCCGACUUCAAACACGUGCGAAUAUGGCAUGUUGGCCUUCGUUUUUUUACUUCUGUAGAACGAUACAAAGACUUGGCAAUUGAACCUGGAAGCAAGAAUAACCUCAUUUUUUCCCCAAAAAAAAAAAAAAAAAACUGAAGUAAGAAAUUGGAAUUGGAAGCAAUUUUUCCAGUUACACAAAAGUCCUCAAAUUACUUGCCGAAUUAUGGUAGUUGGUAAGUUGACUUUGACUGUCCACAAAUUACUUUCCGAAUUAUGGUAGUUAGUAUUAUUAGUUUAAAAAAUGUUUGGAAUAAUUGUUCCGUAUAAAUUAUUAUCUUUAUGCCAGGAAUACGGAAAAUUCAAAUCGAAUUUCAGGUAUAGGGUAUACUUUAACUUCGAAGACAAACAGAGAGAGCUGACGAGUAAGUGAAAAGGCAAAAUGAGAUCAUGUUUGAUUUAGAUACGUUUUUAAAUACAUCUUUACUUUGUCAUAAUCAUUAAACUAAAUGGUUCAGUUUGAUUAACUGGAUUGGAUAUUAAAAAAAUAAUACACACACACACAAAAUGCAAUGGGAGCUAAUUAUGAAGCAGAAUUGAGCAACUUAAUAUUUUUAUAAUGAAACGCAUCAAGCACCCUUCUCAGUGGGAUUUUAUUUGUCCAACAAAUUCCGUUUAGAAAAUACAAAAUACAGUGAAUGCUAAAAUCCAUCCCAUUUACUACCCUACAAAAUUAGUGCGCCAGUCCUUAGCCGCAAUAAUAUUGUGCAUGAGUGAAUAGUGAUAAAUACGAAUUAAGACUAAUGUUGAUCUCCAUUUUAACCAACCAAUGAGACUACAAAUCAAAGUCCAACGUUGGGAAACUACGAAAUUUCUUUAUGAAUCAGACUUGCGUGGCCUCAAAAGAAGUAUGAUGAAUGAAUUGACAGAUACCAACUUGGGUUUUAAUCGCAUGUAUGAAGAUUGACAGUCAAAUAUAAGAAAACAAAUAGGAGGAAAUUUCAAAAUUUAAUUGGAGAAAUUUGUACCCUGGCAGCCUUCAUUGGGUUGCCCAUUGAAUUUGCACGACAGAUCCGUUUUUCCCAUAAACUCACAUCACAGAUGAAAGUUACCAAGAACAAGAACUCUGAGAAAGUAUCCGGAUGUCACAACACAAAGUCUAUAGUUCAUAAAUUCUUUCCCCAUAUCCUGUGAGAAUGCCUGGAAACUUACGUUCAAAAAAAAAAUCUAAAAAAAAAAUACCUUGAAAUUAUUAAAUAAUUAUGUUCUCGAUCUAAAUUAACUUUUCAGAAACAUUCUGACAAACAUUGACAAAGUGUGAUUCCAGAACAAGCCCUUCUAUGAUAACAGAAAUGCCGACUAAAUGACAACUCUUACAAGAAUGAAGAGAUGGUGAGUAUUUUUUUUUUUUUCUAACAUGCAUCCUAAAGGUUUCUCUUUAGCUUAUACAUUCUAACCAAGGACAGGCAUACAUGUCUGGGUUUGUACAAUACAAUGAAUAUCUCAGCAUACUUUACGCUUGUAAGAAUGACAAAUGAGACUAAUUUAAGAAACGAAAAUCACUGUUUUAUGUACUUUAUGAAUGUUAGUAAACUGAAACAAUCAGUACAUUUGUCCGUCAACCAACACAACGUAGAUGUCCCAGCCUAAGGGCCAUCGCAACAAGAAAAUUUGGCCAAAAGCUUAGCACAAACUGUGAAAGUCAUAGUCAACCAAUCUCAUUCUCUAGAAGCAAAGAUUACUUUCUUUGCAGCGGAGCCCCAACGAAAGGCUCCAUUGGUUUUAGAAUGAUGUAUAAAGCAAAUAAAAAUAAAGAACCCGUCAAACACACUGCACGAGUCGAUACGCACAGCGCCUAGUAUCCAUCGUUUACGGCUAGGACUACGGGGCGCCUAGUAUCCAUCGUUUACUGCUAGGACUACGGGGUAUCUAAUCCCAUUCGCUCCCCUAGCUUUACGUCUCUCAAUGUCCAUUCCACUCGAUUCAAGAGCAAGAGAAAGAACCAAUGCCCCAUUCGGGUAUAUCGAUUGAAAUACCCGUAAGGGAUAUUUUCCGUAGAAAUAGUAUUCUUACGAAUGAUUCGGAGUUCUUGCAUAGUAGAACCAUGUCUUAUAUCAGGAGGUCUGGGAGUGAUAUUAUUUACCAACCCAAUUUAUUCUGCCUUUGCCUAACUUCCUUCUUGUAUCAUUAAACCGUCACCCAUUAAAACAACACCAACAUUAUUUGAUUCCAAAUUCAGAGCAAUGCCUAUUGUACCCUCUUCAAAUUCUACUAAAUCACCUGCCAUUACUCAAGUCAAGCUAUGAACUCAGACUUAAACCAUUGCAUCCACAUUGUGCCCUUAGUCUGCUCAUGAAACUUUUGAUGCAAAGAAACAAAAAACAGAGACUGCAACCAUGAGGGCAUUAGUACACAGAACACUUCACAUUUGGCCAAAAGCUAAGCACAAAAUGUAAAAGUCAUAGUCAACCAAUCUCAUUCUCUAGAAGCAAAGAUUACUUUCUCCUCAGUGGAGGCCCAAUGAAAAGCUCCAUUGAUUUUAGAAUGACGUAUAAAGCAAAUAAAAAUAAAAGAAUACGUCAAACACAAAUACAAGUCAAGCUACAAACUCAGACUUAAACCAUUGCAUCCACAUUGUGCACUUAGUCUGUUUAUGAAACUUAUGAUGCAAAGAAACAAAAAACAGAAACUGCAACCAUGAGGGCAUUCAUACACAGAACGCUUCACUUUCUCAUUUUAUCCUAUGUUUUCGUUCAAAUUUCUGCGCAGAAAGAAGCAGAAGCUCUGCUAAACUGGAAAAGCAGCUUAGUUUCUUCAUCUCUUCCUUCAUGGACUGCCAUUAACAGCAGCGGUGGCCCAUGCAACUGGAAUGGAAUUCAGUGCAAUGAAGUUGGCAGCAUUUCUGAGAUAAACUUAGCAAAUUCAGGCCUGGACGGAACACUGGACAGGUUUGACUUCUCUGCUUUUCCUAAUCUCACUGCCCUCAAUCUCAAUAUGAACAAUUUAGUAGGAAGUAUUCCGGCUGGAAUUGGGAAUGCAACAAAGCUCAUCUUACUUGAUUUGAGUAGCAAUAAUCUCACAAAUCCAAUACCUCCAGAAAUUGGAUACCAUUCAGAACUCCGAGUCCUUCUUCUCUACAAUAAUUCACUCACAGGUCAAAUUCCACAUCAACUUAGCAACCUACAGAACGCGUGGCUGCUAAGAAUUGGUGCUAACUACCUGGAGGAUCCUGACCCAGUCAAGUUUAAGGGUAUGGCAUCUUUAACAGAUCUUUGGCUUGACUAUAAUCUUUUGGAGAAAUUUCCCUCGUUUAUAGCUGAAUGCUCGAAGCUGAUGUUUCUCGAUCUUUCUGAUAAUCUAAUUAUGGGUCAUAUUCCGAUAGAGCAACUGACUCAUCUGGAAAACCUCGAAUAUCUGAACCUAACAAAGAAUUCGUUUGAAGGAGAGAUUCCCCGGGAAAUUAAAACAUUUCCUAAGCUUCGACACCUGAAGCUCGGGCAAAACAAGCUUACCGGUACAAUACCUGAUGAAAUAGGGCUCCUAUCAAACCUUGAAAUACUUGAAUUCCAUGAGAAUUUGUUUCACGGGCUGAUACCAUCUUCAUUAGGAAACUUGAGGAGGCUUCAACAUUUGAACCUAAAAUCUGCAGGUCUAAAUUCCAGCAUAUCCCCAAGGAACUUGGAUUCUGCGCCAACCUCACUUUCCUCGAACUUUCUAUUAACAACCUUACAGGUUCCUUGCCUCUUUCCCUGGCCUCAUUAAGACAAAUCAGCGAGCUAGGGAUUUCCAAUAACCAACUAUCUGGUGAAAUUCAUCCAUAUCUCUUAUCUAACUGGUCAGAGAUCAUCUCUUUGCAGCUCCAGAUGAAUGAUCUAUCAGGAAAACUUCCACCUGAAAUUGGGUUACUCCCCAAACUAGAGUAUAUGUAUCUUUUUGAUAACAAAUUUUCAGGUCCUAUACCUCAACAAAUCGGAAAUUUGACAAAUCUGUUUGAUCUUCAACUGGCCAACAACUUUUUCAAUGGUUCCAUCCCUUCCACCAUUGGAAAUUUAUCCAGUCUUGUGAAGUUAAGUCUUUCUUCUAACCAACUUACUGGAACCCUUCCUCCUGAAAUAGGCAACGUGAAAAUGUUAGAAGAGUUGGACUUGAGCUCAAAUAAUUUGCGAGGAACUCUUCCCAUGUCAAUAACCAACUUACAAAGCCUCACCCUGUUAUAUGUUUCAUUCAACAACUUCUCAGGAAGCAUUCCAGCUGAUUUUGGACCCAGAUUCUUAAGAAAUGUGAGCUUCUCCUACAAUAAUUUUUCUGGAAAGCUGCCUCCAGGAAUUUGUAGAGGUGGGAACCUCAUCUAUUUAACUGCCAAUGUAAAUAAACUCGUGGGACCUAUUCCAGAAAGUCUUUGGAACUGCACAGGACUAACCAGAGUUAGGCUUGAGCAGAAUCGUCUGGAUGGAGAUAUCACGAAUGCAUUAGGCAUAUACCCAGAUCUGCAAUAUAUUGACUUGGGAGACAACCAGCUUUCUGGUGUGUUGACAUCAAACUGGGGAAAGUGCACCAAUCUCUCAAACUUCCGCAUAUCUGGUAAUAGAAUAAAGGGCGGUAUCCCAGCGGAGCUUGGAAAUUUGACAUAUUUGCAGAAUCUCGACAUUUUUGAUAACCAACUGACCGGGAAAAUUCCAGCACAGCUUUUCAGAUCUUCAUUUCUCAUCAGACUGAAUUUGAGGAGGAACCAACUCUCAGAUAAGAUACCUGCAGAAAUUGGAAAGCUUUCGCGGCUACAAUAUUUGGAUUUGUCAGAAAACAAUCUAGAUGGACCUAUACCAGAUAAACUUGGGGACUGUGAGGCACUUAUAUUUCUGAAGCUGAGUAAAAACAGAUUAAAUGGGACUAUGCCAGAGCAGCUUGGGAAUCUAAUAGCACUGCAGUCUGUCUUAGACCUCAGUCAAAAUACUAUC